UGGGGAUGGAGCUCAAUGGUACAGCACUUUCCUUGCACGUGUGAGGCUCUGGGUUCAAUCCCCAGUCUCACAA
rnacentral:tRNA from 1 species